rnacentral:rRNA from 1 species
CGGCGAGGGGAGUGAAAAAGAACCUGAAACCGUGUACGUACAAGCAGUAGGAGCCCCAUCACUCAAGUGCCUCGCACUGAGUGAUGCAAUAACAUCACCGAAAAUAGCGCCGAAUUUGCUGACAAGGUUGGUCGAUUUUUUCAAGCCGUCGCGCAGUGUACCUAGAAGUACACGAGCAACGGAAGUUAAAAAAUCGGGCAAGAUUGAACGCAAAGGCAAGCGGGACAUUUGAGGAUGGGGUGACUGCGUACCUUUUGUAUAAUGGGUCAGCGACUUAUAUUCUGUAGCAAGGUUAACCGCAUAGGGGAGCCGUAGGGAAACCGAGUCUUAACUGGGCGAAUGAGUUGCAGGGUAU